rnacentral:rRNA from 1 species
AAUAUUGCACGAUGGGCGAAAGCCUGAUGCAGCAACGCCGCGUGAGCGAUGAAGGCCUUCGGGUCGUAAAGCUCUGUCCUAAGGGAAGGUAAUUACGGUACCUUAGGAGGAAGCCCCGGCUAACUACGUGCCAGCAGCCGCGGUAAUACGUAGGGGGCGAGCGUUGUCCGGAAUUACUGGGCGUAAAGGGUAAGUAGGCGGCUAUAUAAGUCAGGUGUGAAAUACCAGUGCUUAACACUGGAAUUGCAUUUGAAACUGUGUAGCUUGAGUGCAGGAGAGGAAAGUGGAAUUCCUAGUGUAGCGGUGAAAUGCGUAGAGAUUAGGAGGAACACCAGUGGCGAAGGCGACUUUCUGGACUGUAACUGACGCUGAGGUACGAAAGCGUGGGUAGCGAACA